GGAAGUGCUGUUUUGCUCUUCAGACACCUGAAAGGACCCUGAAAGCUGCAAGUUGCAUAUAUUCUUGAGUUGCUUUAUCUACUCAUUUAAGGAUUGCAUGGGAAAAAAAACUGGGCUGCUAUACCUGGAGACAUGAGCAAGAACUGGAAUUCAGAACUGAUCAGACAGCAAGCACAAUGAAGCAGGUAUAUGUGGCCACAGACACUUUCUUCCUGUGCACUGAGCUGCUGGCAUCUGAAGAAAUUCUGGUUGAAGCCACCUGUUCUCAGCAACAUCCUUAAGCCUGUAACAAGGAUCAUGGUGCUCCCUUGAGUGCUGUACACUGCACAGGGAAUGCCAUAAGUGACAUGAAUAUGAAGCAUAAGCAGAGUGAGCUCACAUCUGCCUCUAUUCCUCUCUGUCCAUAUGUUUCUGAGAAUGUUUCUUAGCAAUUGUGUUUUCAAACAACAUUUUUGUGAUGUUAGUGAGUGGGCUCGGGAGUAGGAGGGGAUGCAUUUUCAAGAGCAGAAUGAGGGGUGAGUUCUCUGCCCUGCAUGGGCUGACAUGUAUGGAAACUAAGAGUUAACCUGAACAGCUUAUGUUUUAGAAUAUGUCUACUAUGUUUAUGAAAUUUAUACUCAUUACAUACAUGCUCAAUACUUGCCGGUCAGCAAACUUCUGUACCUUUGAGAAUUUCAUCCUAGUAUUUUCUGCCUGCUCCAUUGCAACCUGUAAUAAUAGCCCAUUAAUCAAGUGUCACCCCUCUAAUACAGAGGAGUUCUAUCUUCAUUGCCUUCGUUUAUAAUAAUUUAGUUUAUACUUUACAAUGUUAUUGAUUUUAUGGAAUGGCUCAUUACAUUUACACAAAACUAAAUCAUUCAAUUAAAUACUUUAAAUUAAGU
rnacentral:lncRNA from 7 species